rnacentral:rRNA from 1 species
GAUGAACGCUAGCGGCAGGCCUAAUACAUGCAAGUCGAACGAGAUUAAGAGGCUUGCUUCUUAUGAAAGUGGCGCACGGGUGCGUAACGCGUAUGCAACCUACCUUAAUCAGGGGGAUAGCCCGAAGAAAUUCGGAUUAAGACCGCAUAAAAACACAGGAUAGCAUUAUCCAAUGUUCAAAUAUUUAUAGGAUUAAGAUGGGCAUGCGUGUCAUUAGCUAGUUGGCGGGGUAACGGCCCACCAAGGCGACGAUGACUAGGGGAUCUGAGAGGAUGACCCCCCACACUGGUACUGAGACACGGACCAGACUCCUACGGGAGGAAGCAGUAAGGAAUAUUGGUCAAUGGAGGGAACUCUGAACCAGCCAUGCCGCGUGCAGGAAGACAGCCCUCUGGGUCGUAAACUGCUUUUAUUCGGGAAUAAACCUUUCUACGUGUAGGAAGCUGAAUGUACCGAAGGAAUAAGGAUCGGCUAACUCCGUG